UCCUACGGCCAUGCCACCCUGAACAUGCCCGAUCGUCUGAUCUCAGAAGCUAAGCAGGGUCGGGCCUGGUUAGUACUUGGAUGGGAGACCACCUAGGAAUAUCAGGUGCUGUAAGUG
rnacentral:rRNA from 1 species